GCCAGGCGUGGUGGUGCAUGCUUGUAAUCCCACCUACUCGAAGGCUGAGGCAGGGGAAUUGCUUGAACCCAGGAGACGGAGGUUGCAGUGAGCCAAGAUCGUGCCACUGCACUCCAGCCUGGGUGACAGAGUGAGACCCUGUCUCAA
rnacentral:SRP_RNA from 1 species